ACCUGGCUGGCUCAUUCGGUGGAGUACAAGACUCUUGAUCUUGGGGUUGUGAGUUCGAGCCCCACGAUGGGUG
rnacentral:tRNA from 1 species